UACGUAGGGUGCAAGCGUUGUCCGGAAUUAUUGGGCGUAAAGGGCUCGUAGGCGGUCCAUCGCGUCGGGAGUGAAAAGCUGGGGCUUAACCCCAGUCCUGCUUCCGAUACGGGUGGACUAGAGGUAGGUAGGGGAGAUCGGAAUUCCUGGUGUAGCGGUGAAAUGCGCAGAUAUCGAGAGGAACACCUGCGGCGAAGGCGGGUUGCUGGGCCGACACUGACGCUGAUGCGCGAAAGCCAGGGGAGCGAACGGG
rnacentral:rRNA from 1 species